AUACGUAGGGGGCGAGCGUUGUCCGGAAUGAUUGGGCGUAAAGGGCGCGUAGGCGGCCUGUUAAGUCUGGAGUGAAAGUCCUGUUUUCAAGAUGGGAAUUGCUUUGGAUACUGAUGGGCUUGAGUGCAGGAGAGGUUAUCGGAAUUCCCGGUGUAGCGGUGAAAUGCGUAGAGAUCGGGAGGAACACCAGUGGCGAAGGCGGGUAACUGGACUGCAACUGACGCUGAGGCGCGAAAGUGUGGGGAGCAAACAGGAUUAGAUACCCUGGUAGUCCACACUGUAAACGAUGAAUGCUAGGUGUAAGAGGUAUCGACCCCUUUUGUGCCGGAGUCAACACAAUAAGCAUUCCGCCUGGGGAGUACGGCCGCAAGGUUGAAACUCAAAGGAAUCGACGGGG
rnacentral:rRNA from 1 species